rnacentral:lncRNA from 1 species
GGCGGAUCACGAGGUCAGGAGUUCGAGACCAGCCUGGCCAACAUGAUGAAACCCGGUCUCCACCAAAAAAUUUAAAAAAUUAGCCGGGUGGGGUGGUGCGCGCCUGUAGUCCAAGCUACCCGGGAGGCUGAGGCAGGACAGACGCUUGAACCCGCGAGACAGAGGUUGCAAUGAGCCGAGAUCCGCCAGUGCACUCUAGCCUGGGCGACAGGGUGAGACUGCGUCUCAAAAAAAAAAUUAUAUAUAUGUAUUAUAUAUACCGUAUACAUUUAUGUAUACUACAUAUUAUUAUGUUAUAUAUAUUUUUAUAUAUCAUGUAUUUUAUAUAUAUAUAUACACACACACACACAUAAUAUAUACAUAUGUUAGCCAGGCAUGGUGGCACACACCUGUAAUCCCAGCUGCUUGGGAAGUUGAGGCGCCAGUAUCGCUUGAACCCAGGAGGCAGAGGCUGCAGUGAACCAAGAUUGUGCCACUGCACUCCAGUCUGGGCGACAGGGCAAAACUCUCUCAAAAAGAAAAAGAGGGGGAAAAAAAAAGUUCAGGUUCUUGAGCUCUAUCCCUGGAGGUUCUGCACACGUAAGUUCCCCAAGUGACUCUGUUGCAGCUGGUUCGGGGAGCCACUUCUUAACUAACAUAGUAAUAAGGAUAAUGUAACAGCUAACGGCGUACAAGUGCCAGCCCCUGAGCUAAGGCUUUAUGUAGAGUCUCUCAUUUAGUGUUUAUGAAGUCCUGCUGUCAUUGUCCUUAUUUUACAGAUAAGGAACCUGAGCCCCAGACAGUUUUGACUCCACCAUAGUCAUGCAUCCCAUGGUGUCAGAGACCUCUUUUGAGCCCAGCUCUGUCCCAAAACUCAUGGGGUUUUUUUGGUUUGUUUUUUGAGAUAGGAUGUCUGUCUGUCGCCCCGGCUAGGAUGCAGUGGAGCGAUCCUAGCUCACUGCAGCCUUGAACUCCUAGGCUCAAGCCAUCCUCCUACCUUAGACCCCCAAGUAGUUGGGCCUACAGGUGAGUGCCAGCACACCUGGCUAAUUUUUAAAUUUUAUGUAGAGGUGGGGUCUUGCUGUGUUGCCCCAGAUGGGUCUCCUAGGCUGGAGUACAGUGGUACGAUCACAGCUCACUGCAGCCUCAACCUCCUGGGGCUUAGGUGAUCCUCCCAUUUCAUCCUCCCCAGUAGCCUCAGCCUCCCGGGUAGUUGGGACAACAGGCAUGCUCCACUAUGCCCAGCUAAUUUUUUGUAUUUUUUGUAGAGAUGCAGUUUCGCCAUGUUGCCAGGCUGGUCUCAAACUUCUGGGCCCAAGCAGUCCUCCUGCCUCGGACUCCCAAAGUGCUGGGAUUAUAGGCGUGAGCCACCGCACCCAGCAUGACAGUAUAUUAACAGGAAAAGAAAGUGCUGGCCGGGCACGGUGGCUCACACCUGUAAUCCCAGCACUUUGGGGGUCUCAGGCGGGUGGAUCACGAGGUCAGGAG